CAGUAGCCACGGGAAUACGUAGGUGGCAAGCGUUGUCCGGAAUUAUUGGGCGUAAAGGGCUCGCAGGCGGUUUCUUAAGUCUGAUGUGAAAGCCCCCGGCUCAACCGGGGAGGGUCAUUGGAAACUGGGAAACUUGAGUGCAGAAGAGGAGAGUGGAAUUCCACGUGUAGCGGUGAAAUGCGUAGAGAUGUGGAGGAACACCAGUGGCGAAGGCGACUCACUGGUCUGUAACUGACGCUGAGGAGCGAAAGCGUGGGGAGCGAACAGGAUUAGAUACCCCCGUAGUCCCUGUCUCUUAUAC
rnacentral:rRNA from 1 species